GGGGUAAUGGCCUACCAAGGCAACGACGGGUAGCUGGUCUGAGAGGAUGAUCAGCCACACUGGGACUGAGACACGGCCCAGACUCCUACGGGAGGCAGCAGUGGGGAAUCUUGCGCAAUGGGCGAAAGCCUGACGCAGCAACGCCGCGUGCGGGAUGAAGGCCUUCGGGCUGUAAACCGCUUUCAGCAGGAACGAAAAUGACGGUACCUGCAGAAGAAGGAGCGGCCAACUACGUGCCAGCAGCCGCGGUGACACGUAGGCUCCAAGCGUUGUCCGGAUUUAUUGGGCGUAAAGAGCUCGUAGGCGGUUGAGUAAGUCGGGUGUGAAAACUCUGGGCUUAACCCGGAGACGCCAUCCGAUACUGCUCUGGCUAGAGUUCAGGAGGGGAGUGGGGAAUUCCUAGUGUAGCGGUGAAAUGCGCAGAUAUUAGGAGGAACACCGGUGGCGAAGGCGCCACUCUGGACUGAAACUGACGCUGAGGAGCGAAAGCAUGGGUAGCAAACAGGAUUAGAUACCCUGGUAGUCCAUGCCGUAAACGGUGGGCACUAGGUGUGGGUUCCAACUAACGGGAUCCGCGCCGUCGCUAACGCAUUAAGUGCCCCGCCUGGGGAG
rnacentral:rRNA from 1 species